rnacentral:lncRNA from 1 species
CCGGGGCAGCCCUACCUCUCCCAUAACUCUGUUUUUUCCUCACAUCGGUUCUGACAGCGCUUCGUGAAGCCCUGCUAGCACUGCUCCACCAUCAUUUCCACCAUGUCAUAGUGCUGGUUGAGAUCCCAUCUACUUCUCCUUCCUCUCUUGUUGGAUCAAUAAGGAGGAGAUGUAAUCGAGUUAUACAUGUGUUGAACGCGAGGGUGUUGUCCGUUCGGCACUAGAUCAGGAUGGAUCUUGAUGGGAUCAAGGGACGGAUCAUGAUGAGAUCACGGGACGGAUCAUGAUUGGAUCGAAAAGAUGUUCGACUACAUAAAAACGUUAUAUACGCUUCUGCUUAGCAAUCUACAAGGGUAUGUAGAUGCACUCCCCCUCUCGUAGAUGUUAGUCUCCAUAGAUUGAUCUUGGUGAGCUUAGGAAAUUUUNNNNNNNNNNCGUUUCCCAUGCGACGUUCCCCAAGAGUGGCAUCAUGAGCUAGGACUAUGCGUAGAUGACAUCAGAGUAGAGCACAAAUAAGUUUGUGGGUGUUGUUAUUCAGGUUGCUUCCUCCUUAGUCUUUUCUUGAUUCAACGGUAUGGUGGGAUGAAGCGGCCCGGACCAACUUUACUCGUCCACGUACGAGAGACCGGUUCCAUCGACUGACUUGCAACUUGUUGCAUAAAGAUGGAUGGCGGAUGUUUGUAUCUCCUACUUUAGUUGAAUCAGAUUCAACAGAGGCAGUCCUUGAAGAAGAUUAAAUAGCAACUUGCAUAUCACCGUUGUGGUUUUUGCGUAGGUAAGAAGCGUUCUUACUAGAUACCCAUGGCAGUCACGUAAAACAUGCAGCAACAAAUUAG